rnacentral:rRNA from 1 species
UGGGGAAUUUUGCGCAAUGGACGCAAGUCUGACCGAGCGAUGCCGCGUGCGGGAUGAAGGCCCUCGGGUUGUAAACCGCUGUCAGUUGGGAGGAAGGGCCGAUGAAGAAUCGGCUUUGACCUAUCUUCAGAGGAAGUCCGGGCUAAGUUCGUGCCAGCAGCCGCGGUAACACGAACCGGACAAACGUUAUUCGGAAUUAUUGGGCUUAAAGGGUGCGUAGGCGGUGCGGUAAGUGAGGUGUGAAAUCCCACGGCUCAACCGUGGAAUUGCGCUUCAUACUGCCGUGCUAGAGGGAGACAGAGGUAAGCGGAACUGAUGGUGGAGCGGUGAAAUGCGUUGAUAUCAUCAGGAACACCGGUGGCGAAAGCGGCUUACUGGGUCUCUUCUGACGCUGAGGCACGAAAGCUAGGGUAGCGAACGGGAUUAGAUACCCCCGUAGUCC